rnacentral:tRNA from 1 species
AGCAGUGUGGCUCAGUGGAAAGAGCCUGGUCUUGGGAGUCAGAGGUCAUGGGUUCUAAUCCUGCCUCUGCCA